rnacentral:snRNA from 14 species
GGAUGUGCCGGGCGAUUUGGCAGCGACACCUUCUCACCAUCCAUUGAUCGCUAGGGCAAGUUCGGCUGAUCUGGCUGCAUAGAUCGGUGUCCCCUCAUCGGCGCUCAUCCGUGUUCGUCCCUCCCGAUGCUCUGCGCUCGGUGGCAGCGGACUCCGACCCCCGAGGGACCGGCAACGGCUUCUUCGUCGAGGUCGCGGGUUUAGGCGUAGCGACGGCUCCCUGCUAGACCAAACUCCACGGGCGAGGCGAGUAGGCGAGCUGGAACUCCGACUACAGCAUCCACAUCCAGAUCGGCACUGCACGUGGCAGUCUGCCUGUUUU